UUAAGCGACUAAGCGUACACGGUGGAUGCCCUGGCAGUCAGAGGCGAUGAAGGACGUGCUAAUCUGCGAAAAGCGCCGGCGAGGUGAUAUGAACCUUUGACCCGGCGAUGUCCGAAUGGGGAAACCCAGUGCAAUCCGUUGCACUAUCGUUAACUGAAUACAUAGGUUAACGAGGCGAACCGGGGGAACUGAAACAUCUAAGUACCCCGAGGAAAAGAAAUCAACCGAGAUUCCCCCAGUAGCGGCGAGCGAACGGGGAGCAGCCCGGAGUCUGAAUCAGCUUGUGUGUUAGUGGAACGGUCUGGAAAGUCCGGCGAUACAGGGUGAUAGCCCCGUACACGAAAGCACACAUGCUGUGAACUCGAAGAGUAGGGCGGGACACGUGGUAUCCUGUCUGAAUAUGGGGGGACCAUCCUCCAAGGCUAAAUACUCCUGACUGACCGAUAGUGAACCAGUACCGUGAGGGAAAGGCGAAAAGAACCCCGGCGAGGGGAGUGAAAAAGAACCUGAAACCGUGUACGUACAAGCAGUGGGAGCCUCUUUAUGGGGUGACUGCGUACCUUUUGUAUAAUGGGUCAGCGACUUAUAUUCUGUAGCAAGGUUAACCGUAUAGGGGAGCCGAAGGGAAACCGAGUCUUAACUGGGCGUUAAGUUGCAGGGUAUAGACCCGAAACCCGGUGAUCUAGCCAUGGGCAGGUUGAAGGUUGGGUAACACUAACUGGAGGACCGAACCGACUAAUGUUGAAAAAUUAGCGGAUGACCUGUGGCUGGGGGUGAAAGGCCAAUCAAACCGGGAGAUAGCUGGUUCUCCCCGAAAGCUAUUUAGGUAGCGCCUCGUGAACUCAUCUUCGGGGGUAGAGCACUGUUUCGGCUAGGGGGCCAUCCCGGCUUACCAACCCGAUGCAAACUACGAAUACCGAAGAAUGUUAUCACGGGAGACACACGGCGGGUGCUAACGUCCGUCGUGAAGAGGGAAACAACCCAGACCGCCAGCUAAGGUCCCAAAGUCAUGGUUAAGUGGGAAACGAUGUGGGAAGGCACAGACAGCCAGGAUGUUGGCUUAGAAGCAGCCAUCAUUUAAAGAAAGCGUAAUAGCUCACUGGUCGAGUCGGCCUGCGCGGAAGAUGUAACGGGGCUAAACCAUGCACCGAAGCUGCGGCAGCGACACUAUGUGUUGUUGGGUAGGGGAGCGUUCUGUAAGCCGUUGAAGGUGUGCUGUGAGGCAUGCUGGAGGUAUCAGAAGUGCGAAUGCUGACAUAAGUAACGAUAAAGCGGGUGAAAAGCCCGCUCGCCGGAAGACCAAGGGUUCCUGUCCAACGUUAAUCGGGGCAGGGUGAGUCGACCCCUAAGGCGAGGCCGAAAGGCGUAGUCGAUGGGAAACAGGUUAAUAUUCCUGUACUUGGUGUUACUGCGAAGGGGGGACGGAGAAGGCUAUGUCAGCCGGGCGACGGUUGUCCCGGUUUAAGCAUGUAGGCGGAGGUUCCAGGUAAAUCCGGUACCUUGUUAACGCUGAGGUGUGAUGACGAGGCACUACGGUGCUGAAGUGAUAAAUGCCCUGCUUCCAGGAAAAGCCUCUAAGCAUCAGGUAACACGAAAUCGUACCCCAAACCGACACAGGUGGUCAGGUAGAGAAUACCAAGGCGCUUGAGAGAACUCGGGUGAAGGAACUAGGCAAAAUGGUGCCGUAACUUCGGGAGAAGGCACGCUGAUAUGUAGGUGAAGCCCCUGCGGGCGGAGCUGAAAUCAGUCGAAGAUACCAGCUGGCUGCAACUGUUUAUUAAAAACACAGCACUGUGCAAACACGAAAGUGGACGUAUACGGUGUGACGCCUGCCCGGUGCCGGAAGGUUAAUUGAUGGGGUUAGCGGCAACGCGAAGCUCUUGAUCGAAGCCCCGGUAAACGGCGGCCGUAACUAUAACGGUCCUAAGGUAGCGAAAUUCCUUGUCGGGUAAGUUCCGACCUGCACGAAUGGCGUAAUGAUGGCCAGGCUGUCUCCACCCGAGACUCAGUGAAAUUGAACUCGCUGUGAAGAUGCAGUGUACCCGCGGCAAGACGGAAAGACCCCGUGAACCUUUACUAUAGCUUGACACUGAACACUGGUCCUUGAUGUGUAGGAUAGGUGGGAGGCUUUGAAGCGUGGACGCCAGUCUGCGUGGAGCCAACCUUGAAAUACCACCCUUUAAUGGCUGGUGUUCUAACGUAGACCCGUAAUCCGGGUUGCGGACAGUGUCUGGUGGGUAGUUUGACUGGGGCGGUCUCCUCCCAAAGAGUAACGGAGGAGCACGAAGGUUGGCUAAUCCUGGUCGGACAUCAGGAGGUUAGUGCAAUGGCAUAAGCCAGCUUGACUGCGAGCGUGACGGCGCGAGCAGGUGCGAAAGCAGGUCAUAGUGAUCCGGUGGUUCUGAAUGGAAGGGCCAUCGCUCAACGGAUAAAAGGUACUCCGGGGAUAACAGGCUGAUACCGCCCAAGAGUUCAUAUCGACGGCGGUGUUUGGCACCUCGAUGUCGGCUCAUCACAUCCUGGGGCUGAAGUAGGUCCCAAGGGUAUGGCUGUUCGCCAUUUAAAGUGGUACGCGAGCUGGGUUUAGAACGUCGUGAGACAGUUCGGUCCCUAUCUGCCGUGGGCGCUGGAGAAUUGAGGGGGGCUGCUCCUAGUACGAGAGGACCGGAGUGGACGCAUCACUGGUGUUCGGGUUGUCAUGCCAAUGGCACUGCCCGGUAGCUAAAUGCGGAAGAGAUAAGUGCUGAAAGCAUCUAAGCACGAAACUUGCCCCGAGAUGAGUUCUCCCUGAGACUUUAAGUCUCCUGAAGGAACGUUGAAGACGACGACGUUGAUAGGUCGGGUGUGUAAGCGCAGCGAUGCGUUGAGCUAACCGAUACUAAUGAACCGUGAGGCUUAACCUU
rnacentral:rRNA from 1 species